rnacentral:rRNA from 1 species
CAGCAGUGGGAAUAUUGCACAAUGGGCGCAAGCCUGAUGCAGCCAUGCCGCGUGUAUGAAGAAGGCCUUCGGGUUGUAAAGUACUUUUCAGCAAGUGAGGAAGGUUGGAUAUGUUAAUAGCAUAUUCAUUUGACGUUAGCUGCAGAAGAAGCAACCGGCUAACUCCGUGCCAGCAGCCGCGGUAAUACGGAGGGUGCGAGCGUUAAUCGGAAUUACUGGGCGUAAAGCGACAUGCAGGUGGUUUGUUAAGUCAGAUGUCGAAAGCCCGGGGCUCAACCUCGGAAUUGCAUUUGAAACUGGCAAACUAGAGUACUGUAGAGGGGGUAGAAUUUCAGGUGUAGCGGUGAAAUGCGUAGAGAUCUGAAGGAAUACCCGGUGGCGAAGGCGGCCCCCUCGGACAGAUACUGACACUCAGAUGCGAAAGCGUGGGGAGCAAACAGGAUUAGAUAACCUGGUAG